rnacentral:rRNA from 1 species
UACGUAGGGGGCAAGCGUUGUCCGGAAUUAUUGGGCGUAAAGAGCUCGUAGGUGGCCUGUCGCGUCGGCUGUGAAAACUCGGGGCUCAACUCCGAGCUUGCAGUCGAUACGGCAGGCUAGAGUUCGGCAGGGAGACUGGAAUUCCUGGUGUAGCGGUGAAAUGCGCAGAUAUCAGGAGGAACACCGGCUGGCGGAAGGCGGGGGUCUCUGGGCCGAUACUGACACUGAGGAGCGAAAGCGUGGGGGGAGCAACAGG